rnacentral:lncRNA from 1 species
CAUUUUAGCAUACAUGUUGACUCUGGCAGCAAUAUGUAUUCUGUACAUUGCCUAGCUCCAUUCCAACCUAUUCAUACAGGAGUGCUGUGCCUGCUUUGGAACUGCCUUGCGCUAUUUUCACAGAUUUCCUCCACUGGUCCUGAAAACUAACCACCAUGCAACGUGACAAGGUGAAAAGGAGAAAUCCCUCCAAGAUGAAAUGGGGUAGUAAAGGGAAGCAGUAAUUAAACGAUGACCUGUGGAAUGUAUUAUUGAUCCCUGAGAGGCUGGGUGAGAUGCAGGAAGACUAGAUGAGGAAAAGUACAGUAAAUAUCCUCAAAAAGCAAGGCAAAACAGACAAGCAUCUCCUAGGACUGACACCAAUAUAACUGAUUCAGCCUUAUAGUAAGAGGAAGAACUUAAAGACUUCUCCAGAUCCUUACCAGUAUUCUGAUGAUUUCUCUCCCACAUCCCUCAGUGUGGAGGGCGAUGGUAGAAUGGCUAAGUGGUUCUGAGCUGCUUCCAGGUUAAACCACAGCACUUCUAUUUGAAAUUGUCUUCCUACUUUAAGUAAUGUUCCUAGUUUAAGUAAUGUUCCUACUGAUAACAUAACCAGUGAAAUUGUUCCAUAUCAAAGAUAAAUAUAUAUUUAUAUAUAUAUAUAUAUAAUUCUACAUAACCUGUUAAUUUUUUGUUGUUGUUGUUUUAAUGAAUAAACAUUUUGGUCUAUAUAUUUGUCAAAGUUUUCUCCUGGCUUUACGAGUCUAACACAUGCAAUCUAUCGGUCACUGAGAGCUCAUUUGCUGCAGUAACGUUCUUUGACUGCUACAAAGAGGGGAGAGGGGGGGGGAUGGACCAGCAAUUUUUUGAAAUGUUAUUCCAUGGCAAAUUUGGCCAAAGAAUAUGCUGUACUUAAACCAUGACUGCAGGAUAGCAUACACAUACCUCAUUGCUUGCAGCAGUUUUUUCAUUUGGCCCUCACUCAUUUUCU